CACUCGAAGUACAGUCAAGUAUAGGUCCUGUAUGGUCCCGCUGCUCUCACGGAACGUUGGCUCGACCGUUGGUUUCGCUUAUUUGAGGUGGUGUUUCUGGCAAAAGGUCCACUCGGUCACCAAGACUGUGUUGGCCACCAGGGUACAAGAACCAUACUACCCAGUCAGACCAGCUAUCAGUCCCUCUCCUCCCUCACUGCUGCUUGACAAGAAGCUUUCUCAGUAGACUGGACCACAAUCCUUUCUAGACGGACUAUGGAACAGAAGUGGCCAAUCAGAGUCUUUGUCACUGAUUGUGACAUUAGAAAAAUCAGCCUUGAUCAGAAACCAGGCAACCUUGAGUCCCUUUUGGAAAACUUAAAAGUUAAACUGGCUCUACCAUAUGAUUUCAAACUACAGUUUGAAGACCCACUUUUUAACAAUGCACUCUGCAAUCUGACAGAUGUCUCAGAACUGCCAGAUCGAGCCACGCUGAAAAUUAUAAGUCUUGAAUCUCUCUCUUCAGUCUCUGGCAUACUGUCCUCACCAAGCACAUCUGAUACAGGGAUACCUUGUACAAGUGAAGAAAAAUCUCAGUUGA